GACGAACGCUGGCGGCGUGCUUAACACAUGCAAGUCGAACGGAAAGGCCCCUUUGGGGGUACUCGAGUGGCGAACGGGUGAGUAACACGUGAGUAACCUGCCCUUGACUUCGUGAUAACUUCAGGAAACUGGGGCUAAUACCGGCUAGGAAUCCUUGCUGCAUGGUGGGGGUUGGAAAGCUUCGGCGGUUUUGGAUGGACUCGCGGCUUAUCAGCUUGUUGGUGGGGUAGUGGCUUACCAAGGCUUUGACGGGUAGCCGGCCUGAGAGGGCGACCGGCCACAUUGGGACUGAGAUACGGCCCAGACUCCUACGGGAGGCAGCAGUGGGGAAUAUUGCACAAUGGGCGGAAGCCUGAUGCAGCAACGCCGCGUGCGGGAUGACGGCCUUCGGGUUGUAAACCGCUUUCAGCAGGGGCGAAGCUUGUGGUGACGGUACCUGCAGAAGAAGCACCGGCUAACUACGUGC
rnacentral:rRNA from 1 species